CGGCGCCGGGACCGCGCCGAGGAGAGGGCGGCCCGGCAGCGGGUGAAGGAGAAGAUCGAGCGGGACAAGGCCGAGAGAGCACAGAGGUUCGCCCCCUCCCCCGCUGAGCCCCCCCCCCAGACCCCUCCCCCCGGGGCGGAGCCGCCGGCGCCGCGGGAAUACGACGAGUGCCGGAUCCAGGUACGGAACG